CUUGACUCAUCGUGACUGUCAAGUAUUAGCCCAGACUUUGUAAGGACGUAUAUAAGGAAAGAAAAAAAAAUAUCAAAGGAAACUGACAACAGCUAAAAAGGAGAUAUAUGCGGGUUUUCAAGCCUUGAAACCUGAACUGAGGAUAAGAUGGUUUUAAUUGGCUUCUGGAAGUCUAUUUUCAAUGAAGCCAAUGUCACCUCCAGGGAGAAGCCAUGCCAGAGGACUUGGGCCAUCAUGGAGAACCACCAUCUUUGGAAUUUGGGCCCAUCUGCUUCCUGGAAAUGGGACACUCCCAACAUUUACUUGUGGGAGGGUUACUUUGGACAGGUUGAAUCCAGUUGUAUCUGGCAAUUGUGAGGAUAUCCAGGCACCAAGCCAUAUAACUUAAAUUGUGCCCAGUAGACAAUUGGCAACCAGUGCAGAUCUUUCAGUACAAGAAUUAUAUUGUCUCUGAACCUUGCGCUAUUUAACCAAUUAGCUGCUGUAUUUUCAUCAGUUGCAGAUCAGCCUCUUCCAACUUGAUGCCUAUCUCAAUUCCAAUAUCUCCUGCAAACAUCAGGAUAUCAUCGCCCAGAAUUACCCAGGCACUUUUGAAAAUUCUGGAAAACAAAAUCUAGAGUCCAGACAUCUGGAAGGCAAAUGGGGGGAGUGGGGAAAGCCAUGUUAGACUUCUAUAAACUUCAGUCAACAUGACCAACAAAAUAUUAUAUGGAUACCUUGGUGCUUUCUGAGCUUGUUGGUUUUCUUGCAAACAUUUUAUUACCAAACUAAGUAACGUCAUCGGCACUGAUGAUGUUACUUAGUUUUAUAACGAAACAUCUGCAAAACAAUCACCAACCUCAAAAAGCCUCAAGAACCCCCUCAGUUUAACCCUGAGUACAAAUAUUCUUUUCAAUUAGUAGAUAUCAACCCCAAAUUAUAGAAGUCUGCCAUAACUCUGAGAGGAGCUGAUAUUUUGGAUUAUCAGAUUCUUCCCAAGAAUCUAAGAUAAAAGUAUUAUUAACAUCAGUUCACAACAAUGUCAAGUCACAGCUGCCAGUGGGCACUGGCCUUCAUACACAUUGAGUUUUCCCCAAGAACCUAGGAUGUCAUAAUAUAUUGACAUAGUAUUCAUUACAUACAGAUCUGAGCAGUUUGGCCCUUUGCUAUUGACAGAUGGAAAUGUUGUUAAUGUGAAGAUUUUCUAAGUGCCAUCCAAGAUUUUUUAAUAUGACGCCCAGAGUUCCAGUAAUCACUGGGAUCACCACAGCCAGUUUAUGCCAUAAUCUUUCGAUCUUCAGAUCUUGAUACUUUCUGAUCUUCUCCAAUUCUUCUUCUUAUUUUGUGUUGCUGUUGCUAUGAUGGCAUGCUCCUUCUUUCCUACAGUGGGGCAUAUGUUCAGAUCCCUUAAACAAAGGAUGCAAAGUAGUUUAAAUCUUCUGCUGGUGAAAUUUCAAAAAAAGCACAGACCAAACCCUUUUCCUGAGAGAGUCAUGCAAUCUCACCACAAAUAUGCUUCAGGCAGAGUUAUUGCUGUUUACUGUGAGUAGGGAAAUGUCAGUAUGUGCAGUUUUUGAAUUUUGGGGAGAGAACCAAAUUUCCCCUACAACUUCCUACAUUUCAAAAAAUUGUCAGGGCCAGAAAUUCUCUGAAUUGUGACUUCACCAACUGUGGGUUAAUAUAUCAGGGUUCCUGUUCCCACCAUUGUUCCUUCCUUAGUGCCAAUGUCCUUGUCCCUGCUGAUUUUAACAAAAGUGAAAGUGGGGGAGAGAAGGACCUCUUUAAGCCCAGAAGGAGUUCUUACAUUCAUGUCCCACCUGUUACAUUUUGAUGCUUCAAACCAUGUAGGUGGCAGCCAAACUCACAUAAAUGAGAUUCUGGGUGGAAUAACCUUUAAAAAAAAUGAAAACAGUUUAAACAAUUAAUAGACAAUUGGGAAUUCUUAACACCGCUUGCAACUCAUGAUUCUAUCAUCUGGCCCAAGUGUUUAAUGCUAUUAUAAAAACCAGCCAGCUGGGGAUGUGUGUGUGUAUAUGUGUAUCCCCAGCCGCUGGUUUUUAGAUAUAUUUAUAUGGGAGUUGAAGUCCACACAUCUUAAAGUUACCCAGGUUGAGAAACAUUGUUCUAAACAUUACAGUAGAAACCAAUCAUAUCCUUCAAUGUUUAUUGUUUCAGUGGAGAGCUAAAACUAUCUGCUGUUUUAUAAGGCUGCCAUUUCCAGAUUUGUUAAAUCCAUAUGAUGAUGGUUCAAUAGAAACUCUAAGCCAUAUGCUAUUGUACAACUCCCUAUAUAAGGACUCUAGACAGAGCUUUAUAUAUCCUGUCUUGAAGAAAUUUCCAAAUAGGGAAUGUGAUUUCUAUUUAAUGUACUAUUCUCAGACAAGGAAUCAGAAAUAAUCUCUUAAGUCACCCAGUUCUGGGCUACCAUUUGUAUGAUAUGCCAUACAGUUAUUUAGGAUCAGAACUUCUUAUAAUAGUGUUUUAUUUGGAUUUAUUUUAGUAACUUGUGCUUAAUUAUUUUUAGAUUCCAUUAUAUUUUUAUAACUCCUUUAUACUUAUUGUUUAUCUCUUGUACACAAAUACACCCAUAUAUAGAAAAGGAUGUAACACGUCUUUUAUUCAAUAUUUUAUUUCUAUCAGGGCUGUCAUAAAUAAAUUUGAAUUUGAUUUGUUAA